UCAGCUCUAGGACCUGGUUUAAGGAUGGGGAGAUGGAGCUCGGCCCCAGCUCCUCCCCUCCCCUCACCUACCCGCGGGAGCUGGGCCAGGGCUCCUAGGUGGGGACUGGGCCAGUGGGGCCGGCACAAGCAGAGGUGGUGUCACUGAAAGGGCUUCCGGUGGGGUCUUGCUGAGAAGGUUUCACAUGGAUGUGUUUGCUCCAUACUUAACAAUAACUCUAGAAGAGAGGAUUAUUCUUAUUUCUAUUUUCGAGACAGGAAAACUGAGCUAUCUCUGGGAGAGUUGUUCCCUCAGCAGAAAGCUGGUGGUGGCUGAUGCCAGUGGAAGGGACCCGAGGAACCAUGUAUGCAUCUGUUGAGGGAAAAGCCAUCGCCCCUUUGCCUUGGGCAUACUGAGGAGAAGUCUCAAGUUCUGCAAAUUUUCCCAACCUUGCAAAGUUGUUCUUCCUACAUCAAGUCAGGAGCUUCUUUCUUUUGUUUUUAGUUGCUUCCAGGUGUCCAAAUUAUGCCAGUUCCAACGGUGCUCUUGGUGACACAAGACAGAAACUCAUCUCUUGCUGUGUAUUAAUAUGCUGGGGACAAUGGACACAUGUCCCACUCUCUCUUGCUCCAAAGCAAAAAUUGCCAUCCAAGAUGGUCUCUUGUUAUUUGAAUGUGUCCUCCGAAAAGUAUCCUUUGGAAACUUAAUAUUCAAUGCAACGGUGUUUGGAGGUGGUGCCUAAUAUGAAAUUAUUAGACCACGAGGGCAAGAAAGCCUAACCAGAUACCAACCCCUUCUGUCUUUAACUUCCCAGCCUCCACUGUGAGAAAUAAAUUUCUGUUCACUAUAAAUUUCUCAAUCUGUGGCAUUCUGUUAUAGCAUCACAAAAUGGAUUAAGACAUCUCUCCUGGUACUUAUGCUUUCU